GGGGAUGUAGCUCAGUGGUAGAGCGUCCGCUUUGCAUGCGGAAGGUCCGUGGUUCGAUCCCCCGCAUCUCCA
rnacentral:tRNA from 2 species